UCUCCAAAGAAUGAAGCAGGAGAGACCUUCCUCUGAUACCAAGGAAUAAGCUCAGGAUUGAGUGUGUGAACAUUCUGUGGGGCUAGAGAUGCCCAGGAAGAAUUCAUGAGAACAUUCCAAAGAGGCAAUCCCUGAAUAUUUAGCAAGCUGCAUUUUAAAAGCGUCCUCAUAAAGAUAGAAAAACAUGUUGUGUAACAAGAGCUCAGAAAAUUCACAGUAAUUCUAAGAAGGUAAGAGAAGCCCAGAUGGA